rnacentral:misc_RNA from 1 species
GAUGAAGAACGUAGCGAAAUGCGAUACGUAAUGUGAAUUGCAGAAUUCAGUGAAUCAUCGAGUCUUUGAACGCACAUUGCGCCCCCUGGUAUUCCGGGGGGCAUGCCUGUCCGAGCGUCAUUGCUGCCCUCAAGCACGGCUUGUGUGUUGGGCCUCCGUCCUCCUCCCGGGGGACGGGCCCGAAAGGCAGCGGCGGCACCGCGUCCGGUCCUCGAGCGUAUGGGGCUUCGUCACCCGCUCUUGUAGGCCCGGCCGGCGCUUGCCGACACAUCAAUCUUUUUUCCAGGUUGACCUCGGAUCAGGUAGGGAUACCCGCUGAACUUAAGCAUAUCAAUAAGCGGUGGA